rnacentral:rRNA from 1 species
UCUUAGACAAUGGGGGAAACCCUGAUCUAGCCAUGCCGCGUGAUCGAUGAAGGCCUUAGGGUUGUAAAGAUCUUUCAGCUGGGAAGAUAAUGACGGUACCAGCAGAAGAAGCCCCGGCUAACUCCGUGCCAGCAGCCGCGGUAAUACGGAGGGGGCUAGCGUUAUUCGGAUUUACUGGGCGUAAAGCGCACGUAGGCGGAUCAGAAAGUUAGGGGUGAAAUCCCGGGGCUCAACCUCGGAACUGCCUCUAAAACUCCUGGUCUUGAGGUCGAGAGAGGUGAGUGGAAUUCCGAGUGUAGAGGUGAAAUUCGUAGAUAUUCGGAGGAACACCAGUGGCGAAGGCGGCUCACUGGCUCGAUACUGACGCUGAGGUGCGAAAGCGUGGGGAGCAAACAGG